GGUCUUAUGGUCUAGUGGUAUGAUUCUCGCUUAGGGAUUUCCCGAGCAUUGCUUGCGAGAGGCCCCGCGUUCGAGUCGCGGUAAGACCC
rnacentral:tRNA from 3 species